GACGAACGCUGGCGGCGUGCUUAACACAUGCAAGUCGAACGAAGUGGCGAACGGGUGAGUAACGCGUAAUCAACCUGCCCUUCAGAGGGGGACAACAGUUGGAAACGACUGCUAAUACCGCAUACUGAAGGAGGGGAUUGCGUCUGAUUAGCUAGUUGGAGGGGUAACGGCCCACCAAGGCGAUGAUCAGUAGCCGGUCUGGGAGGAUGAACGGCCACAUUGGGACUGAGGCACGGCCCAGGCUCCUACGGGAGGCAGCAGUGGGGAAUCUUCCGCAAUGGACGGAAGUCUGGCGGAGCAACGCCGCGUUGGUGAUGGCGGCCUUCGGGUUGUAAAGCUCUGUUAAUCGGGACGCGGUACCGGAAUAGAAAGCCACGGCUAACUACGUGCCAGCAGCCGCGGUAAUUC
rnacentral:rRNA from 1 species